rnacentral:tRNA from 1 species
AGUCUUAUAGUCAAUAUAUAUGAUAUAAAAUUGCAAAUUUUAAGGGGUAUAAAUAAAGUUAUAUUAAGGCUU